rnacentral:rRNA from 1 species
UACGAAGGGAGCUAGCGUUGCUCGGAAUCACUGGGCGUAAAGGGUGCGUAGGCGGGGCUUUAAGUCAGGGGUGAAAUCCUGGAGCUCAACUCCAGAACUGCCUUCGAUACUGAGGAUCUUGAGUUCGGGAGAGGUGAGUGGAACUGCGAGUGUAGAGGUGAAAUUCGUAGAUAUUCGCAAGAACACCAGUGGCGAAGGCGGCUCACUGGCCCGAUACUGACGCUGAGGCACGAAAGCGUGGGGAGCAAACAGG